rnacentral:rRNA from 1 species
GAUGAACGCUGGCGGUGUGCCUAAUACAUGCAAGUCGAGCGAACAGACGAGGAGCUUACUCCUCUGACGUUAGCGGCGGACGGGUGAGUAACACGUGGAUAACCUACCUAUAAGACUGGGAUAACUUCGGGAAACCGGAGCUAAUACCGGAUAACAUGUUGAACCGCAUGGUUCAACAGUGAAAGACGGUCUUGCUGUCACUUAUAGAUGGAUCCGCGUCGCAUUAGCUAGUUGGUAAGGUAACGGCUUACCAAGGCAACGAUGCGUAGCCGACCUGAGAGGGUGAUCGGCCACACUGGAACUGAGACACGGUCCAGACUCCUAUGGGAGGCAGCAGUAGGGAAUCUUCCGCAAUGGGCGAAAGCCUGACGGAGCAACGCCGCGUGAGUGAAGAAGGUCUUCGGAUCGUAAAACUCUGUUAUUAGGGAAGAACAAAUGUGUAAGUAACUAUGCACGUCUUGACGGUACCUAAUCAGAAAGCCACGGCUAACUACGUG